rnacentral:rRNA from 1 species
UACAGGGGGGGCAAGCGUUGUUCGGAAUUACUGGGCGUAAAGGGCUCGUAGGCGGCCAACUAAGUCCGACGUGAAAUCCCAAGGCUUAACUUUGGAACUGCGUCGGAUACUGGAUGGCUUGAAUUCGGGAGAGGGAUGCAGAAUUCCAGGUGUAGCGGUGAAAUGCGUAGAUAUCUGGAGGAAUACCGGUGGCGAAGGCGGCAUCCUGGACCGACAUUGACGCUGAGGAGCGAAAGCUAGGGAGCAAACGGG